rfam:Ixodes scapularis strain Wikel colony gcontig_1107729042880, whole genome shotgun sequence.
GGCCUGCUAGCUCAGUUGGUUAGAGCGUCGUGCUAAUAACGCGAAGGUCGUAGGUUCGAUCCCUGCGCAGGCGA